AUGGGGCGGCUGUGGGGCGCACGUGGGUCUGGGGUCGGUUAUGGGGUCACCGAUGGGGUCCCGCUUAUGGGGUCAGUAAUAGGGUCUCACUUAUGGGAUGUCAUUGAUGGGUCUGGGGUCACUUAUGGGGUCACUUAUGGGGUCACUUAUGGGGUCUCGGGGUCUGGGAUCCCAUUUAUGGGGUCUCACUUAUGGGGUCUCCCUUAUGGGGUUUCCCUUAUGGGGUCACUUAUGGGGUCUCAGGGUCUGGGAUCCCACUUAUGGGGUCGCACUUAUGGGAUCUCAUUGAUGGGUCUGGGGUCACUUAUGGGGUCACUUAUGGGGUCACUUAUGGGGUCUCGGGGUCUGGGAUCCCACUUAUGGGGUCUCCCUUAUGGGGUCUCACUUAUGGGGUCACUUAUGGGGUCUUGGGGUCUGGGAUCCCACUUAUGGGGUCUCACUUAUGGGAUCUCAUUGAUGGGUCUGGGGUCACUUAUGGGGUCACUUAUGGGGUCUUGGGGUCUGGGAUCCCAUUUAUGGGGUCUCCCUUAUGGGGUCACUGAUGGGUCUGGGGUCCCCCUUAUGGGGUCUCCCUUAUGGGGUCACUGAUGGGUCUGGGGUCCCCCUUAUGGGGUCUCCCUUAUGGGGUCAGUGAUGAGUCUGGGGUCCCACUUAUGGGGUCACUGAUGGGUCUGGGAUCCCACUUAUGGGGUCCCCCUUAUGGGGUCUCCCUUAUGGAGUCACUUAUGGGUCUGGGGUCUCCCUUAUGGGGUCACUGAUGGGUCUGGGGUCUCUCUUAUGGGGUCUCCCUUAUGGGGUCCCAUUUAUGGGGUCCGUGAUGGGUCUGGGGUCUGCCUUAUGGGGUCCCACUUAUGGGAUCUCAUUUAUGGGGUCACUGAUGAGUCUGGGGUCUCCCUUAUGGGGUCACUGAUGGGUCUGGGGUCCCACUUAUGGGGUCCCACUUAUGGGGUCUCCCUUAUGGGCCUGGGGUCUCCCUAAUGGGGUCAGUGAUGGGUCUGGGGUCUCCCUUAUGGGGUCUCCCUUAUGGGGUGACUGAUGGUUCUGGGGUCUCCCUUAUGGGGUCAGUGAUGGGUCUGGGGUCCCACUUUUGGGCUCUCACUUAUGGGUUUGGGGUCUCCUUUAUGGGGUCCCACUU
rnacentral:lncRNA from 1 species